GAGAGGAGGGACAGCCAACCCAAGGCUGGUGGACUGCAGCUCAGCCAGGGAGCCAGGAGCUUCCCUGGCCUCAGGGAGCCCUGUAUGUAGGAACCCCAACCCCCCCUGCUCUCAAGGCCCUCACCAGUCCUUGCCGGGACCCCAGCAGCAGCGAGAUGGACCUGUCUCUCUCAGCCCCUCCAGGGCAGAGCUGGCGCUGGGGGCUGUGCAUUCCCACCAGCCCACGUUGGAGACUUGAACACAUCUUCCCUGAGGAAGAGGCUACACGGGCAGGGAUCUCGUCGAUGGAACUGAAGACAAGCCUGCGGCUUCUCACCGCUCACAGCUUCUUGAUCAACCUCCGUCAGGAUGGGGUCAACAGCACCGGUCCCUUGCACUGUUUGCUCUCUGACCGCCACAGAGUCACCGUGCUCUUUGGAAGCAGAGGACAGUGGCCCCAGGUUAUUUUGUUCUGCAGAAAGAAGACUAUCAAGUCAGGAAGGAGAAAGUGUUGAAGGCCGCGUGGGGCCCAGGAAGAGGGGGACUCUACUCCAGUGGUCAUUUCAGCUGCACAUGUGGGGACGGUCCCGUGCUGGGUGCACACAUGCUGAGAAGAUCGGGCCGUGGUGGUCUCUUCUAGAUUCUUCUGCCUUUUGGAUACAAGGUCCCGGCUUGCUCUCCAUGCUGCCUUGCAAAGCUUCCAUUUGUCUUCUAUGAAAAUCACUCAGCUGCCCGCCCAGGGUGGUGCUCUGGGUGGACGUGCUCACGCCCAGCCCCCAUGGGCAGUCCGUGGUGGGCCUGCACCUCUCUCUCCCAGGAGAGGGGAAGCAGGAAGGGCCGUCCACAGCAUGUGGCCACCAUAUGCAGAUGGAAGCACCAGGUGGGUGGCAGUGUCCACCACCCAUCCUUCUGUCAUGAAGAUGGACACUUGCUACCCACAGACUAAAAGCAUUUCCCACGGACUCAGCUGAAAUGUUGGAUUCUGGCAGAUGAUUUGCAAUCUGCUUAGUGGGACGCUGACAGACAGAAUGUUUACUUCUCAGAGUGAGAGUUCCUCAUUCUACCUUUUGUGCCUUUUUUUUUUCUUAUGGUUGUUAAUCAAAACCUUUUAACUUUUAAUUUUAAGUGAAAGAAGAUAGCCUUUGAAAAUUUGUCAAUCACUUCUCUAUCCCAGAGCUAGCAAAUCCUCUGGGAGGUUUCCCUUGAUCUGGGACACAUAACUUAAAGUAAAGGAGUGAGUCCACAAA